CUCUUCAUUUCUUUUCUCUCACAAUCUUCUUCAGUGCUCUCUUCUCUCUCUCUCCUCAGAUCUGUGCUGAAUCAUAUAACUGCAAGAUGUCACAGAGAGCACAGUCUUUUCUUCACUUCUCUUUUUAUUUUUCAUUUCAGAAUACUCAUUUUUUCUCUUUUCUUUUAUCUAUCUCAUUUGUUUUUUCUCUGCUGUUAGAAGCACAGACAGUUCUCAGAUCAAUUGAGAAAGUUAUUUCUCUUCAUUCACUAUAAAACCUUUCAGACACAGCAGUAGUGAUUCCCUCAGAAACCACACUAUAGUCUCAUCAUGAAUAAUCAUACA
rnacentral:sRNA from 1 species